rnacentral:rRNA from 1 species
GACGUAGGGCGCGAGCGUUGUCCGGAUUUAUUGGGCGUAAAGAGCUUGUAGGCGGUUUGUCGCGUCUGCCGUGAAAAUCCGAGGCUCAACCUCGGACUUGCGGUGGGUACGGGCAGACUAGAGUGUGGUAGGGGAGACUGGAAUUCCAGGUGUAGCGGUGAAAUGCGUAGAUAUCUGGAGGAACACCGGUGGCGAAGGCGGCAUCCUGGACCGGUAUUGACGCUGAGGCGCGAAAGCUAGGGGAGCAAACGGG